AGACUCUCCGGAUCAUACCUGGAGAGUUUCCAGUCCUCUACCAGUCUUGGCUACAGGAGGGAGAGGGAAGCAGAGGCCUGUCCAUUCCAUUCCUAGCUUGGCCAGUGGCUAGCGAGUGGAAGACCAUCUGCUGCACAU